AAAUUGAAGAGUUUGAUCAUGGCUCAGAUUGAACGCUGGCGGCAGGCCUAACACAUGCAAGUCGAGCGGAAACGAGUUAUCUGAACCUUCGGGGGACGAUAACGGCGUCGAGCGGCGGACGGGUGAGUAAUGCCUAGGAAAUUGCCCUGAUGUGGGGGAUAACCAUUGGAAACGAUGGCUAAUACCGCAUGAUGCCUACGGGCCAAAGAGGGGGACCUUCGGGCCUCUCGCGUCAGGAUAUGCCUAGGUGGGAUUAGCUAGUUGGUGAGGUAAGGGCUCACCAAGGCGACGAUCCCUAGCUGGUCUGAGAGGAUGAUCAGCCACACUGGAACUGAGACACGGUCCAGACUCCUACGGGAGGCAGCAGUGGGGAAUAUUGCACAAUGGGCGCAAGCCUGAUGCAGCCAUGCCGCGUGUGUGAAGAAGGCCUUCGGGUUGUAAAGCACUUUCAGUCGUGAGGAAGGUGGUAGUGUUAAUAGCACUAU
rnacentral:rRNA from 1 species